rnacentral:rRNA from 2 species
AAAGAAACCAACCGGGAUUGCCUCAGUAACGGCGAGUGAAGCGGCAAAAGCUCAAAUUUGAAAUCUGGCUCCUUCGGGGUCCGAGUUGUAAUUUGCAGAGGAUGCUUCGGUUGCGGCCCCCAUCUAAGUACCCUGGAACGGGUCGUCAUAGAGGGUGAGAAUCCCGUAUGGGAUGGGGUGUCCGCGUCCGUGUGAAGCUCCUUCGACGAGUCGAGUUGUUUGGGAAUGCAGCUCUAAAUGGGUGGUAAAUUUCAUCUAAAGCUAAAUACUGGCCGGAGACCGAUAGCGCACAAGUAGAGUGAUCGAAAGAUGAAAAGCACUUUGAAAAGAGAGUUAAACAGCACGUGAAAUUGUUGAAAGGGAAGCGCUUGCGAUCAGACUCGCCUACGGGGUUCAGCCGGCUUUCGGGCCGGUGUACUUCCCCGUGGGCGGGCCAGCGUCGGUUUGGGCGGCCGGUCAAAGGCCCCUGGAAUGUAGCGCCUCUCGGGGCGCCUUAUAGCCAGGGGUGCAAUGCGGCCUGCCUGGACCGAGGAACGCGCUUCGGCACGGACGCUGGCAUAAUGGUCGUAAGCGAC